GACGGAGGAUGCAAGUGUUAUCCGGAAUCACUGGGCGUAAAGCGUCUGUAGGUGGUUUAAUAAGUCAACUGUUAAAUCUUGAGGCUCAACCUCAAAAUCGCAGUCGAAACUAUUAGGCUAGAGUAUAGUAGGGGUAAAGGGAAUUUCCAGUGGAGCGGUGAAAUACGUAGAGAUUGGAAAGAACACCGAUGGCGAAGGCACUUUACUGGGCUAUUACUAACACUCAGAGACGAAAGCUAGGGUAGCAAAUGGGAUUAAGAAACCC
rnacentral:rRNA from 1 species